CUUUGAAAACUUCUUCAGGAAGAAUGAAGAUAACUGAUGCCAUUCCUUAGAACUGCAGACCAUUGCUGGGCUUUGCGUUGACUCAAGAGAAAGCAUGGGUAGGAGAAGGGCAAGCUCAUUCACCUCAUCACAGGAAAAAUAAUUGCCAGAAACUUGUGAAGUUUCAAGUUCUAUUUCCUACGUAAAACCCCUGACUACCACCCUUCUCUUAACUUACAUGACUUUUUC
rnacentral:lncRNA from 10 species